rnacentral:rRNA from 1 species
AACGAACGCUGGCGGCAUGCCUAACACAUGCAAGUCGAACGAGACCUUCGGGUCUAGUGGCGCACGGGUGCGUAACGCGUGGGAACCUGCCCUUAGGUUCGGAAUAACUCCCCGAAAGGGGUGCCAAUACCGGAUAAUGUCUUCGGACCAAAGAUUUAUCGCCUUUGGAUGGGCCCGCGUUGGAUUAGCUAGUUGGUAGGGUAAAAGCCUACCAAGGCGACGAUCCAUAGCUGGUCUGAGAGGAUGAUCAGCCACACUGGGACUGAGACACGGCCCAGACUCCUACGGGAGGCAGCAGUGGGGAAUAUUGGACAAUGGGCGAAAGCCUGAUCCAGCAAUGCCGCGUGAGUGAUGAAGGCCUUAGGGUUGUAAAGCUCUUUUAACCGGGAUGAUAAUGACAGUACCGGGAGAAUAAGCGCCGGCUAACUCCGUG